UACGGAGGGUGCAAGCGUUAUCCGGAUUCACUGGGUUUAAAGGGUGCGUAGGAGGGCAGGUAAGUCAGUGGUGAAAUCUCCAAGCUUAACUUGGAAACUGCCGUUGAUACUAUCUGUCUUGAAUGUUGUGGAGGUGAGCGGAAUAUGUCAUGUAGCGGUGAAAUGCUUAGAUAUGACAUAGAACACCAAUUGCGAAGGCAGCUCACUACACAAUUAUUGACUCCGAGGCACGAAAGCGUGGGGAUCAAACAGG
rnacentral:rRNA from 1 species